CUGCGUAAACACAACAAGGGCCAAGACAUCAAUCAUGUAUCACAUGAGAACUCUGAAUUUUCUCAAUUAUUUAAUAUUUUUCCUUAGUAUGAAACUAUGAGAAGUGAAUUGUUUUGCAGUACUUGAAUGCAAUCGUAAAUUCUUUCCUCCAAUGUAAACUUGUGAAAGUUUACAUUUCCAUAUAUUUUCAAGGUUAGAUUGUUCACUUUUUACAAGUUCACAUUAGGUGAAAAGAUUCAUGACCAACCCUCUGGCUAUAAAAAUUGUCGCAAUCGUUUCCGACAGUAUCGUAGACGUAAGUCGGUGUCGGAAAUCAACGCACAAGGAUUGACCCUAACAGCACAUGAUAUCAUACGAAUCAUUCUACACUCAUACUGAAAGUACUAUGGCCAUACGUACUAUUGCUAAUAUACGAGAGAAUAUUUAUGUAAUAUCUUGAUGGAAUAUCAUUUCUCUGAUAUUCUCAAGCUCAUACUCAGAACAUAAAAAUUCAGAACAUAAAAAUUAACUGAAUCGCAGCCAACGUAUAUUUUACAGAACAUAUUCAGUUUAAGCGUCAUCUACACGUAUUUCGGUUCCCAUUCCCAGCAAUCUCUGUCUGCCCUUUCUUUUUCCGCUUGUAUAUAUAUUAUAAUUCUUUUUGUCGAAAAUAUGUAUAAAUUAACGCUGUCGGGCAGCGUUAAUUCAUAUAUAUUUUCGACAAAAAGAAUUAUAAUAUAUAUACCAAAUAUAUCCUGGAAUUCCUCAAUAACUCCAAAGUAAAUCUAUAAAAUCCUUCAUAUAUCCCUAUAAACAUAAACUCCCAACAAAUACAUAGUGAAAGGGACAAUGAGUCAAGCCUGCAGCCGUAGAGAGAGAGAGAGAGAGAGAGAGAGAGAAAGAGAGAGAAAGACACGAAGAGAAUCGCACGAAUCAAGCAUCAUCGCGGACGUAAUAUUUAUAAGCAUAGACCCUGCAAUCAAAUAUCUGUACAUUGCUCGGACUUCUCCUUUUUGAAUGUAUGGCUCAGACCUUUCCGCUGGAAAAAAGACGUAAAAAACUAGUGCAACUGUUGACUCGGGGCUAAGUCGCAAAGUAGAUCCUAAAUAUUCAGAACAUUUACCCUACAAUGAAGGACAGAAUAACGUUAAGAAUGGAGUUAAGAAUAGUUCACUUUCAGCGAGACAGCUGUACAUGCAAAGUUCAAUCAUGAACAAAAUUAAACAAUUGGCACGUUUGAGGAGCGGAUGUAUGAAAACUUCUUGCAUUCGACUAAUGAGAUUUAUAUUUUCCAACCAACUCGCUAUAAAAUAUAGUUGGUUUGGAGCCAAAAAGAAGCAAAAUUUUUCAACUUUAAAUAUCUGCAAAUUAUGAAAUAUUAAAAUUAUGAAAAUAAAAUAUUUAAAAGCAAUCUACACUUUUUACUUAUGAACGUUACGUUGUUUGUGACUUGACAAAUAUUUUUAUAGUAUUAUAAAUAUUUGCAGCAUUUGUUCGUAAAAUUAAUGAUACAAAUAUUAAUAUUUACAAAUAUUAAUAUUUUGCAACUCUUUCUUUUCUAUAUAUAAUAAAUAUAGCAUAAAAUGUUACUUCAUUUACAUAAUACUGAUGAUAUUAGUUUUAAUUUAUAAGAAAUAUUUUGUAUUUAUAAAGAAUUUAUAAAGAAGUAAUAAA